UCAAUAUAGUAAUAAUUAAUGUUAAAGGUUAAGAAUUUGACUAUAAAAUCAAAAAAUUGAAAAUUAAAAUAAAAAAUUAGUUAAAGCUUGGGUAACAAUGGUGUAAUUAAUCUAGACCUGGCAAUCUCGACCCAUACCGGCAGGUGCCCAUGGGUUAUCAGCAAAUUUAUGGGUAUGGAUACCAACUUUUUCAACCCAAAAAAUUACAGGUAAAAUGGGUGGGUACCUAUUAAGCUGUGGGCAUUUUGGGUAAUCCGUGGGUACCCACGGAUACCCGCACAUAUAUUAUUUAAUUACAAAAUGUAUUUUCUUAAUUAAAAUAUAUAUAUUUUUAUUUACUCAUCCUACAAAUUCUAACUCUAAUUUUUUAUCACGUCUUUUAUAUUACAAAAUNAGGGAAGAGAAGGUGAGGGGGGCCACACUCUAUUUUGUGUAUGAUAGAGUCAAUAACUCUUAAAAAAAGAGACCUUGUUUUGUAAUAAGUUGGAAUAAUUUAUAUAUAUAUAUAUGGUCCCGCUACUAUACUAUUAUGAGUACGAUCGCCCUCGUACUCAUAAGUUGUUUUCGAUGAUAGAGCUUCCAAAUCAACGAUCCACACCGUUAAACGUUAUUUACAGUAUUUAAAAUUUUUAAAAAUCAAAUUUUAUAAUUUUUCGACAUCAUUUACCUUACGAUCAAGAGGUCACAAAUUUGACAAUUUUUAACGGCCGAUAUGGAAUACUUGCUAGUUUAACGGUGUAAAAGAAUCGAAAUUUGUUGAAUUUUUGAUAGAAAAUUUUAUUCACUACAUAGAUAAAGAUCAAUAACUCCGAUCUUGAAUUAAAGGAUCCGAUCAUCCUUUUUUAGGAUGUCGUUCGAUUUUGACCGUUCAUUUUAUGCCCACUUGAUGGACUUUAUUAUGAUUUCGAAAAUUUACGAAAUUUAUUUUCUAGAAGUUUUAAAUACUCUAGAUCAUAUUUAACGGAGUGGAUCGUCGAUUCGGAAGCUCCAUCAUUGAAAACAACUUAUGAGUACGAGAACUCCAAUACUCAUAAUAGUAUAGUAGCCAUGGCAUAUAUAUAUAUAGAAUUAGGCUGGAAUGCUAUUGAUAGCAAAAGAUGCUUUUUGCUAUCAAGUUUUUAACCCUUAGAUGAGAAAUUGUAGAGUCAGGAUGAUAUUAGUUAGUUAGGAUUGAGUGGUCCCCUAGGGUUGAGAGGUUCCCACUGGGUUAUAAUAUUUAAUUCAAUGGUUAGAAAUAAUGAAAGGAGUUGAUCCAAAGGCUAAAAACUUGGUAGCAAAAAAAAAGCCUUUUGCUAUCAAUAGUAUUUUGGCCCAACUAUAUAUAUAUAUAUAGAGUCCGGCUACUAUGCUAUCGGUAGCACGGAGCGCUCCGUGCUACCAAGUUGUUUUCGAUGAUGCGGCUUCCAAAUCGACGAUCGGCUCCGUUAGACUUGAUCUACACUAUUAAAAGUAUUUGGAAACUAAAUUUCAGAUUUUUUCGACAUCAUUUGACACGUGAUCAAAAGAUCUCAAAAUUAAUAAUUUUAAAGGCCGAUGUGGUGUGUUUGUGAGUUUAACGGUGUAAAACAAUCCAAAUGCGAUGAAAAUUUUAUAGAAAAUUUUUUUCACUAUUUAGAGUAAGAUCAGUAUAUCUGAUCUUGAAUUUAAAUCUUUUAUCAUCAUUUUUCAUGAGAUUUUUAUUUUCAGCCGUUCAAUUUUAGACUACUUGUUUGAUAGGUAAAUGAUAUCGAAAAAUUAUGAAAUUUAGUUUCUAAAUACUUUCAAUAGUGUAGAUCAUAGUGGGCUGGGUCGUUACAUUUGGUAUCAGAGCCGGUUCACCAGCUGGACAUGUGUGGCGAGUCUCGGCUGAGCCAGGGUCUGGAUGACGGGCUAGCGAGACGAGUCUCACAUCGCCUGGUGGUGAUCUUGGGCUGAGUGUGUGAUUGGACUGACGAGGACGUCAGGGCCUUAACGGGGGGAGUCUGUGACACCCCAAUAGUCCCACAUCGGAUGGGAAUGGGGUUGUCAUUGGGUUUAUAAGAGACUUAAACACUAGUAAUAAUAACUGGGCUUAAGCAUUUUGGGCCGGUGGUUUGGGCCCAACGAGUUAUUGUUGCUAGUGGGUUGGGUCGUUACAUUUGGUAUCAGAGCCGGUUCACCAGCUGGACAUGUGUGGCGAGUCUCGGCUGAGCCAGGGUCUGGAUGACGGGCUAGCGAGACGAGUCUCACAUAGCCUGGUGAUCUUGGGCUGUGUGUGUUUGGACUGACGAGGACGUCAGGGCCUUAACGGGGGGAGUCUGUGACACCCCAUUAGUCCCACAUCGGAUGGGAAUGGGGUUGUCAUUGGGUUUAUAAGAGACUUAGACACUAGUAAUAAUAACUGGGCUUAAGCAUUUUGGGCCGGUUGUUGGGCCCAACGAGUUAUUGUUGCUAGUGGGCUGGGUCGUUACAAGUCUAACGGAGCCGAUCGUCGAUUUGAAAGCCGUAUCAUCGAAAACAACUUGGUAGCACGGAGCGCUCCGUGUUACCGAUAGUAUAGUAGCCUAGUUCUAUAUAUAUAUAUAUAUAUAUAUAUAGAACUAGGCUACUAUACUAUCAAUAGUACCAACCCCUUGGUACUAUUGAGUUUUCGGCCGUUGGACGAAAGGAUGUGCGGUUAGGAUAAUAGUGAUCCCUGGUUAAAUUGAUAGUGGUCCCUAGGGUUGAGUGGGUGGUUGGUUUAAUAGUAUAAUCUAACGGGUGGAAAUGAUCAAGGGGUAGAUCUAACGGUAGAAAACUCAAUAAUACCAAAGGUUUUGUACUAUCGAUAGUAUAGUAGCCGGACUCUCUAUAUAUAUAUAUAUAUAUAUAUAUAUAUAAUUGUUUGGUAGGGGUUUCAUUCGUUACUUCUAGAUCAUAAAAAUCUAGUCAAGUUCUUCCCAAGAUCAAACUGAAAACAAACAAUUAAUUCUAUAUAAGUCCUGAAUAUAUAUAUAUAUAUAUAUAUAUGUACAAUUGUUUGGUAGGGGUUUCAUUCGUUACUUCUAGAUCAUAAAAAUCUAGUCAAGUUCUUCCCAAGAUCAAACUGAAAACAAAAAAUUAAUUCUAUAUAAGUCCUGAAUAUNNNNNNNNNNNNNNNNNNNNNNNNNNNNNNNNNNNNNNNNNNNNNNNNNNNNNNNNNNNNNNNNNNNNNNNNNNNNNNNNNNNNNNNNNNNNNNNNNNNNNNNNNNNNNNNNNNNNNNNNNNNNNNNNNNNNNNNNNNNNNNNNNNNNNNNNNNNNNNNNNNNNNNNNNNNNNNNNNNCCGUAAUGGAAUAACGUCUCACGAUCACUUCAUGACAGGCAAAAACUCUGGAGCUCCAACAGGUGAUUAAACCCCCAGAAGCCCCAUUGGCUUCGACAAAAACACGUUUGUCAAUAAAAGACCCUGCUAAACUAUGAAGGAAGGACCCUGAUACCUGACGUACUUUUGAUUCCUGGAGACAGACAACUACAUUACGAACUUUCGAAAUAACAUCCCUAACCGUAAAACGUUUAGAAGAGUCAUUAAGCCCUCUAACAUUCCAACUAACAACCCUAAACAUCAUAAAGAAGAGACACCACACUCCAAAAAGUCGUCACAAUGUGUUAACUCCCUCCACCAUAUAGCUCGCUUACGCACGGUUCUUCGUGGCUAUGGCGAAAUGGUUUGCCUCCACGUCAUCCAGGAUCACCCUGCAGCGACGACUCUUCCGAAUGAUCUUCCUCACCGUAGCCUCGGUCACGAAGUCAGAGCCACCCUCCCUCAGCAACGCUUUCCUGGAAGCUGCUUUGGAAAGGACAGUAGACUUCUCCCCACACGCAAGCCGUGCACUGGUUCGUGUUGGUGGGGUUCCAUGCUUCUUCCUCGGAAAUCCCGUAUAUCCAGUCGGCUUCGCUUGAGGUCCGACCCAAACCCCAUGCACACAGUCAACUCUAGCUAUGUCCCUCACCUCCUCUCCUUCAAAAGGCCUAGCCGGUUGAGCGUCAUUAUUUACGUCAAGACAGGGGAUCGCGCCUCCCACGUGUAGCAUCAGUGCACCAUUUUCCUCCCUAGUAUUCGACCUGAAACCUCCAUCCAUCGCUACCAUCAACGGCGAACAAUCGUCCACCGCUUUCCUAGAAGGGCCCACCGUACCAGGUAAAACUCUCUCUUCCUGCUUCCAGGCCCACAGCAGUGGCCCAAGAGAAAUCGCGUACAGGCCCCCACAAACCAUAACCUUGAGAAGCCCAUUUGUGUGUUUGGUUACCUUUCUAUAAGUUCGCCAAUUUAUCAUUUUAUAUUUUGUCAUCGUUUUAAACAGAUGGCAUCUCAAUUAUCUAUUUAAUUUACAACUCAAAAAAUAGAUAAAAAAAAUUUAGAUAAAAAAUAAUCUUCUAGUUCGUUAAUACUAUCAAAAUUGAACUAGGCUAUUAUACUAUUAAAAGCACCUAGUCAACGGUACUCUAGCACAUCUAGCUAGAGCGAAAUUCAUACCCGAUCAAACUCUAAUACAUAUAUUUAUAACUCAUGCAAAUCAAAUCCAAUGAAGCCUAGUGCAAUACUUUAGGGCUUAGUAAGAUCCUCACUCUAGCAUAUAUAAACAUAGUGGAAAAUAUAUUAUACUCGGUUAAUCCUGAUACAUACACUCAUGAAUUAACCACUCUCUAACUUUGGGUAAUAUCAAAUUCGACCUAUCUCAAUACAUAAACUUGGAGUUUGGUCAUAUCUCCACCUUUAAAUAUACAACUAAGGUGAAUAUGAUCGAACUCUAAAAUAUAUACGUAGAGACGAUUAGACUCUAAUGCAUAUUUGAGAAUUUGAAAUUGAAUUUUGAAUGAAAAAGGAUAUGUAAUGAGAUUAUUAGGAUAAAAGAUAUUUUCUAAUUGAAUAUUAAAUUUUAGGAUAUGGAUAUGGGCGGUCAUUGAUUGGACCCACUUAGAUGAAACUUGUUGGGCACAAAUAAUAAUAUUCGUUGGGCCGAAAUAAAGCCCAAAUUAUUGUAUAGACUUAAAAAUUCAACGGGCUUUCAUAAGGCCUACCAACUCGUAUUUAUAAAUGGGCCAAUUGAAUAUGUUUAAAUUAUUAUUAUUGGCUCCAAAAUUUUUUGAUCAACAUGAGACCUAUUAGAAUUGUAUGAGUUCGAAUUUAAUUAAUUUUGAUUAUGAUUAGAAUUACUUUAUCAUAUAUUUUAUAUAUAUAUAUAUAUAUAUAUAUAUAUAUAUAUAUAUAUAUAUAUAUAUAUAUAUAU
rnacentral:lncRNA from 1 species